rnacentral:rRNA from 1 species
UUAGCGGCGGACGGGUGAGUAACACGUGAGUAACCUGCCUUAGACAUAGGGAUAGCCUCGGGAAACCGGGAUUAAUACCAAAUGAAAUCACAUAUGCACAUGCAUAAAUGAUCAAAGCUCCGGCGGUCUAAGAUGGACUCGCGUCCCAUUAGCUAGUUGGUGAGGUAACGGCCCACCAAGGCGACGAUGGGUAGCCGGCCUGAGAGGGUUAACGGCCACAUUGGAACUGAGAAACGGUCCAAACUCCUACGGGAGGCAGCCAGCU